AUACGGAGGAUCCGAGCGUUAUCCGGAUUUAUUGGGUUUAAAGGGUGCGCAGGCGGCCAUUUAAGUCAGCGGUUAAAUCGUGGGGCUCAGCCCCAUUCUGCCGUUGAUACUGGGUGGCUUGAUUGCGGUCGAGGUUGGCGGAAUUCGUUGUGUAGCGGUGAAAUGCAUAGAUAUGACGAAGAACACCGAUUGCGCAGGCAGCUUACUAAACCACUACUGACGCUCAGGCACGAAGGCGUGGGGAUCAAACAGGAUUAGAUACCCUGGUAGUCCACGCAGUAAACGAUGAUUACUGGCUGUUUGCGAUACAAUGUAAGCGGCUGAGCGAAAGCGUUAAGUAAUCCACCUGGGGAGUACGUUCGCAAGAAUGAAACUCAAAGGAAUUGACGGGG
rnacentral:rRNA from 1 species